rnacentral:rRNA from 1 species
AGCUUGCUUCUCUUGANAGCGGCGGANGGGUGAGUAAUGCCUAGGAAUCUGCCUGGUAGUGGGGGAUAACGUUCGGAAACGAACGCUAAUACCGCAUACGUCCUACGGGAGAAAGCAGGGGACCUUCGGGCCUUGCGCUAUCAGAUGAGCCUAGGUCGGAUUAGCUAGUUGGUGAGGUAAUGGCUCACCAAGGCGACGAUCCGUAACUGGUCUGAGAGGAUGAUCAGUCACACUGGAACUGAGACACGGUCCAGACUCCUACGGGAGGCAGCAGUGGGGAAUAUUGGACAAUGGGCGAAAGCCUGAUCCAGCCAUGCCGCGUGUGUGAAGAAGGUCUUCGGAUUGUAAAGCACUUUAAGUUGGGAGGAAGGGCAGUUACCUAAUACGUGAUUGUUUUGACGUUACCGACAGAAUAAGCACCGGCUAACUCUGUGCCAGCAGCCGCGGUAAUACAGAGGGUGCAAGCGUUAAUCGGAAUUACUGGGCGUAAAGCGCGCGUAGGUGGUUUGUUAAGUUGGAUGUGAAAUCCCCGGGCUCAACCUGGGAACUGCAUUCAAAACUGACUGACUAGAGUAUGGUAGAGGGUGGUGGAAUUUCCUGUGUAGCGGUGAAAUGCGUAGAUAUAGGAAGGAACACCAGUGGCNAAGGCNACCACCUGGNCUAAUACUGACACUGANGUGCGAAAGCGUGGGGAGCAAACAGGAUUAGAUACCCUGGUAGUCCNCGCCGUAAACGAUGUCAACUAGCCGUUGGAAGCNUUGANNCUUUUAGUGNCGCAGNCUNACGCAUNAAGUUGACCGCCUGGGGAGNACGGCCGCAAGGUUAAAACUCAAA